AUUGAACGCUGGCGGCAGGCCUAACACAUGCAAGUCGAACGGAAGAAGGGAGCUGGCUGCUGGAUUCAGGAGCGGACGGGUGAGUAAUGCCUAUGAAUGUGCCUGGUAGUGGGGGAUAACGUUCGGAAACGGGCGCUAAUACCGCAUACGUCCUGCGGGGGAAAGUGGGGGAGGUGGGGAUUUCAGGCUAUCACAUGAGCCUAGGUCGGAUUAGCUAGUGGGUGGGGUAAAGGCAUACCAAGGCGACGAUCCGUAACUGGUCUGAGAGGAUGAGCAGCCACACUGGAACUGAGACACGGUCCAGACUCCUACGGGAGGCAGCAGUGGGGAAUAUUGGACAAUGGGCGCAAGCCUGAUGCAGCCAUGCCGCGUGUGUGAAGAAGGUCUUCGGAUUGUAAAGUACUUUCAGUUGGGAGGAAGGGAAGUAAGUUAAUACCUUGCUGUUUUGACGUUACCCGCAGAAGAAGCACCGGCUAACUCCGUG
rnacentral:rRNA from 1 species